AUUGAACGCUGGCGGCAGGCCUAACACAUGCAAGUCGAACGGUAACAGGAAGAAGCUUGCUUCUUUGCUGACGAGUGGCGGACGGGUGAGUAAUGUCUGGGAAACUGCCUGAUGGAGGGGGAUAACUACUGGAAACGGUAGCUAAUACCGCAUAACGUCGCAAGACCAAAAGAGGGGGACCUUCGGGCCUCUUGCCAUCGGAUGUGCCCAGAUGGGAUUAGCUAGUAGGUGGGGUAACGGCUCACCUAGGCGACGAUCCCUAGCUGGUCUGAGAGGAUGACCAGCCACACUGGAACUGAGACACGGUCCAGACUCCUACGGGAGGCAGCAGUGGGGAAUAUUGCACAAUGGGCGCAAGCCUGAUGCAGCCAUGCCGCGUGUAUGAAGAAGGCCUCGGUUGU
rnacentral:rRNA from 1 species